CCGCCGCCGCCACCACCACCACCUCGGGGCUUCAAUAGGAGAUCCUGAUGGCGCGUUAAGCGACAGGACGACAAAGGCCAGCAGGGGCGCUGCUGCAGGAUGAAGGAAUGUGCUCUUGAUACCAGUUUCCACCCUCACGCCUGCACUUCCUUACACGGAACCAACCAGAAGACCAGUGGAAGCCAGGGAGUCACACAUGCAAGACUCAGCGCGGCCAGCCCGGGCUGCUGAGUCACGGCUAGAGGCCUUCAGCAAGCUCAGUGACAAGCUCCUCCGAGCCGGACCGGCAGGAAGUCCCCGCUCAGGAAAAUCAAUCUGUAAGUCUCGCUCAAGGAUGAUCAUGAGAAGGAGCAGCCAGCCACAGGCACAACACAAAUCCAGAGCCUGAUUCACCCAAGCAAACGAAAGCACCCCCAUGUCGGCCUUGCCAGGGCACACUAGCAGGAGCACAGAAUGGAAUCACUCUCUUGAUCUCGUUAGGCACGGAGGAAGAAAGAAUGCGUCUGAGGGCCACAGAGGCUGCGUGCGCCGCAGCCGGCCCUUGCCCGACACCCAGCCCGUGGACACACCUAGCCGCACCACGUCAC